rnacentral:rRNA from 1 species
AGAGUUUGAUCCUGGCUCAGAUUGAACGCUGGCGGCAGGCCUAACACAUGCAAGUCGAGCGGUAGCACAGAGAGCUUGCUCUCGGGUGACGAGCGGCGGACGGGUGAGUAAUGUCUGGGAAACUGCCUGAUGGAGGGGGAUAACUACUGGAAACGGUAGCUAAUACCGCAUAACGUCGCAAGACCAAAGUGGGGGACCUUCGGGCCUCAUGCCAUCAGAUGUGCCCAGAUGGGAUUAGCUAGUAGGUGGGGUAAUGGCUCACCUAGGCGACGAUCCCUAGCUGGUCUGAGAGGAUGACCAGCCACACUGGAACUGAGACACGGUCCAGACUCCUACGGGAGGCAGCAGUGGGGAAUAUUGCACAAUGGGCG